CGUACUAAGCAAUACUAUACCUCUAUAGAAAAUUUUAUGUUAAAACUAGUAACAAGAAGACAGACCUUCUCUUAAAUGUAAACGUAAAUCAUAAGGACAAACCACUGAUAUUUAACGCUCAAGAACCAGAAGUAAUAACCAACCAAGAAAACUUUACUUUAAUUAACGUUAACCUAACACAAGAGCAUUUCAAGAAAGAUUAAAAGAAAAAGAAGGAACUCGGCAAACUUUAACCUCGCCUGUUUACCAAAAACAUCACCUCUUGAUAAUAAUGAGAGGCCCAGCCUGCCCAGUGACCCAGUUCAACGGCCGCGGUAUCCUAACCGUGCGAAGGUAGCGUAAUCACUUGUUCUUUAAAUAAGGACUAGUAUGAACGGCAUCACGAGGGUUAUGCUGUCUCCUUUUUCCGAUCAGUGAAACUAAUUUCCCCGUGAAGAAGCGGGGAUAAAAUUAUAAGACGAGAAGACCCUAUGGAGCUUCAAACAACACAACAAAUGCCAAACAACUUAAAAAUUUCAUAACUCCAAAUUUACUCAGCAUUAUGAUUGUUAGUUUUAGGUUGGGGUGACCGCGGAGCAAAACACAACCUCCACAUUGAAAGAAUUUUAUUCUAAGCCAAGAACCACAACUCAAAGCAUCUAUAUAUUGACAUUAAUUGACCCAAUAAACUUGAACAACGAACCAAGUUACCCUAGGGAUAACAGCGCAAUCUACUUCAAGAGCCCCUAUCGACAAGUAGGUUUACGACCUCGAUGUUGGAUCAGGGUCUCC
rnacentral:rRNA from 1 species